rnacentral:rRNA from 1 species
GACGAACGCUGGCGGCGUGCUUAACACAUGCAAGUCGAACGGAAAGGCCCUGCUUUUGUGGGGUGCUCGAGUGGCGAACGGGUGAGUAACACGUGAGUAACCUGCCCUUGACUUUGGGAUAACUUCAGGAAACUGGGGCUAAUACCGGAUAGGAGCUCCUGCUGCAUGGUGGGGGUUGGAAAGUUUCGGCGGUUGGGGAUGGACUCGCGGCUUAUCAGCUUGUUGGUGGGGUAGUGGCUUACCAAGGCUUUGACGGGUAGCCGGCCUGAGAGGGUGACCGGCCACAUUGGGACUGAGAUACGGCCCAGACGCCUACGGGAGGCAGCAGUGGGGAAUAUUACACAAUGGGCGGAAGCCUGAUGCAGCAACGCCGCGUGCGGGAUGACGGCCUUCGGGUUGUAAACCGCUUUCGCCUGUGACGAAGCGUGAGUGACGGUAAUGGGUAAAGAAGCACCGGCUAACUACGUG